rnacentral:rRNA from 1 species
GACGAACGCUGGCGGCGUGCCUAAUACAUGCAAGUUGAGCGCUGAAGGUUGGUACUUGUACCAACUGGAUGAGCAGCGAACGGGUGAGUAACGCGUGGGUAAUCUGCCUUUGAGCGGGGGACAACAUUUGGAAACGAAUGCUAAUACCGCAUAAAAACUUUAAACACAAGUUUUAAGUUUGAAAGAUGCUAUUGCAUCACUCAAAGAUGAUCCCGCGUUGUAUUAGCUAGUUGGUUAGGUAAAGGCUCACCAAGGCGAUGAUACAUAGCCGACCUUAGAGGGUGAUCGGCCACAUUUGGACUGAGACACGGCCCAAACUCCUACGGGAAGCAGCAGUAGGGGAUCUUCGGCCAUGGACGAAAGUCUGACCGAGCAACGCCGCGUGAGUGAAGAAGGUUUUCGGAUUGUAAAACUCUGUUGGUAGAGAAGAACGAUGGUGAGAGUGAAAAGCUCAUGAAGUGACGGUAACUACCCAGAAAGGGACGGCUAACUACGUG